rnacentral:rRNA from 1 species
UGAGUAAUGUCUGGGAAACUGCCCGAUGGAGGGGGAUAACUACUGGAAACGGUAGCUAAUACCGCAUAACGUCUUCGGACCAAAGUGGGGGACCUUCGGGCCUCACACCAUCGGAUGUGCCCAGAUGGGAUUAGCUAGUAGGUGGGGUAAUGGCUCACCUAGGCGACGAUCCCUAGCUGGUCUGAGAGGAUGACCAGCCACACUGGAACUGAGACACGGUCCAGACUCCUACGGGAGGCAGCAGUGGGGAAUAUUGCACAAUGGGCGCAAGCCUGAUGCAGCCAUGCCGCGUGUAUGAAGAAGGCCUUCGGGUUGUAAAGUACUUUCAGCGGGGAGGAAGGCGGUGAAGUUAAUAACUUCACCGAUUGACGUUACCCGCAGAAGAAGCACCGGCUAACUCCGUGCCAGCAGCCGCGGUAAUACGGAGGGUGCAAGCGUUAAUCGGAAUUACUGGGCGUAAAGCGCGCGUAGGUGGUUUGUUAAGUUGGAUGUGAAAGCCCCGGG